AGUGAACGCUGGCGGUAGGCCUAACACAUGCAAGUCGAACGGCAGCACAGUAAGAGCUUGCUCUUACGGGUGGCGAGUGGCGGACGGGUGAGGAAUACAUCGGAAUCUACUUUUUCGUGGGGGAUAACGUAGGGAAACUUACGCUAAUACCGCAUACGACCUACGGGUGAAAGCAGGGGAUCUUCGGACCUUGCGCGAUUGAAUGAGCCGAUGUCGGAUUAGCUAGUUGGCGGGGUAAAGGCCCACCAAGGCGACGAUCCGUAGCUGGUCUGAGAGGAUGAUCAGCCACGCUGGAACUGAGACACGGUCCAGACUCCUACGGGAGGCAGCAGUGGGGAAUAUUGGACAAUGGGCGCAAGCCUGAUCCAGCCAUGCCGCGUGGGUGAAGAAGGCCUUCGGGUUGUAAAACCCUUUUGUUGGGAAAGAAAAGCAGCAGGUUAAUACCCCGCUGUUCUGACGGUACCCAAAGAAUAAGCACCGGCUAACUUCGUG
rnacentral:rRNA from 1 species